AACACUCACUAACAUCCCAGGCGGACUGUCCGAAUAUGCGGCUACUACUCGUCCACGGGGGACCACUUCCUUUUCGCUGGGCCUCCGCUACGCUACAAGUUUACGUCAUUUGCGUAGCCGCGGCUCUGGUGCUUUGGGAGCGUUUGGGUUUCCUGAAUUUGGCGUCUCGUGUGUGGAAAGGACUCGAGUGUGUUCAAGCUUCAGUGUGAGUUCAGCAGAAGACUCGGCAGCUCCUGCAGGUCCAUCUGCGGCAGCAGCAGGAGGCAGUAGAGAAGCAGCCAGAGCAGCAGCAGCAGAUACAGAGCCGUAAUUAUCCCGGUUCUGACCCACAAAUGAGAAGUUUGAGCGUGAAACUCACCCCCCUGGACUCCACGAGGUGAGGCCCCUUCCUGCGACGGAGACCUGAAGGGAUCUGGAUCUCGUCUGUUCCGCUGGAACUUCCUGCAUCUCUCCUGCGAGGAGCAAAAUCCAUCAGAAAACAGACAAAUCUUGUUUCCUGGACGCUUUAUCAAGGAGGACUAUGGUUCCCGUCGCCGUCCUCCUCUGGAACGUCAGAGAAAUCAUAAUGGUGUCUUUCAGAACGAGGAUCCACAGCGACUGCAUGACGUCGUCUGUGCUUUGAGCUGAUGAAUCUACUCCUGCGUCUCUAUGUAUGAAUGUAUCAUCUGAUAGGAGUUUAACGUUUUAGGAUAAAUAAGAAACUGAUUUAUGACAUAAAAUCACUUUGACAUUUUUGUUUCUUAAAAAGCAGUGGUCCUCAACCCUCCGGGUUAGAUGGUAACUUGAUAUAGAAAAAAAGAAACACAUGCGCUAACUUAGAUUAUCUCUUAUUUUCUGAUCCUGAAAGAAGUUUUAUUGUAUAAAAAUGAUGGAUUCUGCUCACAGCUUCUGUCUUGGUCACGUGACUUAAAGCGGCUAACUGGAUUGCUAGGCUAGUAGCUAAAAAGCUAACAAAAACCAAACAAUAAAACAUAUUUGGACAUUUUCUUUGGGGAGAAAUGAGGAAAUCAUAAAGUUGCCUUUGACUUCAAAAUAACAAUAAAGGGUUAGAGGUUAUGUAAAGACAAAUUAUGAUCAAUAUUUUAGCCCUGAAAGACAAUCUGAGCCUGGAUUCUAUGGGGAAAAAUCAUCUAAUGUUUAUGGAAUGUUUUUAAAUCAGAAACGACUUCUACAAAAUUAUUGAAUCUUCAUCGUCUGUUAAAAAAAAAAAAAAAAAAUAUUAAUGAUAUUUUCAGAAUUUGUUAUUAAUUUAUUUGAAAAUAAAUUUUCAGACACUUUAAAAACGCCAACUUCAGACCCGGUUCGGACCGGUUUGUGAAAACAUUGUCAAUUUAAACCGGUUCCUGGCCUGAAAAAGGUUGCAGACCACUGGUGAAAAGCUUAAACCUCAGUUUUAGUGACAGAAAAGUAACGUUUCAGCAGAUUCAUCGGUCUGGCCUUUGCAAAGCUGCAGUGGUGAAGUGGUUUUUAAAGGUGACGUUCUUGGUUCAGCAUUUCACAGGGUUUGGGAGGCUAAAAAAUGAAAAAUUACUUGCAUUUAUUUAGACUUUUCUUUAAAAGUGGUUGCUAAAGCGGGCGUUUCCGAUCCUGACGUAUACAUUUAAGACUUAAAUUAGUUACGUUUCCCUUAUGCUGAGGUGUUUGCAGACUUUAGACAAUCUUAGGAGUGAAAUUAAAAAAAAAUUAAUAAAAAAAUAAAAAAAUGACACUUAAAGCUAACAAAAAAAAAUCACCACUUUCCGUAGAUUUAGAGCUUUGAAGCAGUAAGUUUUACAGGAUUAUAAGUUUGACUCUCUCUGAAGGGAGUGAGCUGAGUUAAGCUGUGAUGUAAUAAAUAAUUGAAGCACAUUAAUGCGCAUAAUCCUCAUCACUUGUCUUUAGGACGCAGCCUUUAAGUCCUGCUAAAGUGUUCUGAAGAGGAAAUGAGGUCGGGGAAAUUAAUGGGGAUUUGAAAGCAAACUGACAGACGCUGGAUCUGAAGAGGAAUUCCGAGCAGACGAGGAUCUACCUCUCAGAGUUCCUGAUGUCUGCGGGAAUAUCCGCCCGCGAUUCCCAAACCGGAACCUCAUACUGCUCCUGGGUGGAGAGGGCGUCAGGACGCUCCUGAUUGGAUGGAAUCAGCUGGUAAAGAAAAAGAUAAAAGAAGGAUCAGAGACACUUUAUUCUAAACCAACAUCGUGUCUAGUACAAAAAAAUGGCAUGUCAAGAAAAAAA